AAAUACUAAAAGGAAGCUUCUUCUGGUGCUAUUUAAAUAAAUUACUACAAUAAUGAAACCUCUUUUCUUGAAACAAACUUAAACAUCACCACAAAAUACAUGAAGUAUAACAAGUAAAAGUAAGCAAAAGUACUGAAAUGUGGAUCGAGUUACCAUCACUAUAAGGUUUUACUCCGUAGUUUGUAGGUUGAUAUACUUGGACAGCUAGAGAGGGAAAAACAUUAGCAAAUUGUACAUGGCGCGGCAGUCACGAUGGGCAUGUGCUCGUUUGAGAUUGCUCACUCUUUGACCUGCCGAGUUUUGGGAUCUUGUUUCUUAUACCAGUGCAAUGAAUCUCCCCCUACUAUCUUACUAUUACUAAUUGGAGGCUCCUUUUGAAGCCCCCAGGUGAAGCCACCUAGGAUUUCUAGGUGGACACUCUAGAAAAAGAGAGAAAUCCUAGAAAUUCUCACAAAAAAGCAAAACAUCCGACCAUCAAUCGAUAGAUUCAAAUCAUCAUAGUCAUUGGAUCUAUUAUAUUUUAAAAAAAUCACUCACCUAUACCAUUAUGAAAAUAGCCUAAAGUAACCCCCUAAAUCUAUAUAUAAAUUACCCACAUAUGCCAUUAUAUAAAAUAAACUAAAGUAACCCCUAAUCUUCAUCCAAAUUACCCACUUAUGCCAUUAUAAAAAAUAUUUAAAAUAACCUCCUAAUUUGCAACUGAAUUGCCUACCACUAUUACUUAAAAACUUAAAGUAACCCUUAAAUUUGCAUCUAUAUUACCCACACAUGCCAUUAUUAAAAAUAACAUGAGGUAACCCUACGUUUGAAUCAAAUAACCUUAAUUAAAAAUAUACAGCAAUAUAUGAUUCUAAAUCGUCUAUAUCUUUUACUAUUGGUAUA
rnacentral:lncRNA from 1 species